CUAACAAGGAUUCCCCUAGUAACUGCGAGUGAAGCGGGAAAAGCUCAAAUUUAAAAUCUGGCGGUCGUUGGCCGUCCGAGUUGUAAUCUAGAGAAGUGUUACCUGUGCUGGACCGUGUACAAGUCUCCUGGAAUGGAGCAUCAUAGAGGGUGAGAAUCCCGUCUUUGACAUGGACUGCCUGUACAUGAUGGUGCGCUCUCGAAGAGUCGAGUUGUUUGGGAAUGCAGCUCAAAAUGGGUGGUAAAUGCCAUCUAAAGCUAAAUAUUGGCGAGAGACCGAUAGCGAACAAGUACCGUGAGGGAAAGAUGAAAAGAACUUUGGAAAGAGAGUUAAACAGUACGUGAAAUUGCUGAAAGGGAAACGCUU
rnacentral:rRNA from 1 species